AACGAACGCUGGCGGCAGGCCUAACACAUGCAAGUCGAGCGCCCUUUCGGGGGAGCGGCGGCCGGGUGAGUAACGCGUGGGAAUAUGCCCUUCUCUACGGAAUAGCCUCGGGAAACUGAGAGUAAUACCGUAUACGCCCUGUGGGGGAAAGAUUUAUCGGGGAAGGAUUAGCCCGCGUUGGAUUAGGUAGUUGGUGGGGUAAUGGCCUACCAAGCCGACGAUCCAUAGCUGGUUUGAGAGGAUGAUCAGCCACACUGGGUCUGAGACACGGCCCAGACUCCUACGGGAGGCAGCAGUGGGGAAUCUUAGACAAUGGGGGCAACCCUGAUCUAGCCAUGCCGCGUGAGUGAUGAAGGCCUUAGGGUUGUAAAGCUCUUUCAGCUGGGAAGAUAAUGACGGUACCAGCAGAAGAAGCCCCGGCUAACUCCGUG
rnacentral:rRNA from 1 species